rnacentral:rRNA from 1 species
UGGGGAAUUUUGGACAAUGGGGGAAACCCUGAUCCAGCCAUCCCGCGUGUGCGAUGAAGGCCUUCGCGUUGUAAAGCACUUUUGGCAGGAAAGAAACGUCAUGGGUUAAUACCCCGUGAAACUGACGGUACCUGCAGAAUAAGCACCGGCUAACUACGUGCCAGCAGCCGCGGUAAUACGUAGGGUGCAAGCGUUAAUCGGAAUUACUGGGCGUAAAGCGUGCGCAGGCGGUUCGGAAAGAAAGAUGUGAAAUCCCAGAGCUCAACUUUGGAACUGCAUUUUUAACUACCGGGCUAGAGUGUGUCAGAGGGAGGUGGAAUUCCGCGUGUAGCAGUGAAAUGCGUAGAUAUGCGGAGGAACACCGAUGGCGAAGGCAGCCUCCUGGGAUAACACUGACGCUCAUGCACGAAAGCGUGGGGAGCAAACAGG